rnacentral:rRNA from 1 species
GUGAGGAAUAUUGGACAAUGGGCGCAAGCCUGAUCCAGCCAUGCCGCGUGCAGGAAGACGCAUCUAUGGUGUGUAAACUGCUUUUGUACGGGAAGAAACACUCCCUCGUGAGGGGGCUUGACGGUACCGUAAGAAUAAGGAUCGGCUAACUCCGUGCCAGCAGCCGCGGUAAUACGGAGGAUCCAAGCGUUAUCCGGAAUCAUUGGGUUUAAAGGGUCCGUAGGCGGUUUAAUAAGUCAGUGGUGAAAGCCCAUCGCUCAACGAUGGAACGGCCAUUGAUACUGUUAGACUUGAAUUACAAGGAAGUAACUAGAAUAUGUAGUGUAGCGGUGAAAUGCUUAGAUAUUACAUGGAAUACCAAUUGCGAAGGCAGGUUACUACUUGUGGAUUGACGCUGAUGGACGAAAGCGUGGGGAGCGAACAGGAUUAGAAACCCGUGUAGUCC